GACGAACGCUGGCGGCGUGCUUAACACAUGCAAGUCGAACGGAAAGGCCCUGCUUUUGUGGGGUGCUCGAGUGGCGAACGGGUGAGUAACACGUGAGUAACCUGCCCUUGACUUUGGGAUAACUUCAGGAAACUGGGGCUAAUACCGGAUAGGAGCUCCUGCUGCAUGGUGGGGGUUGGAAAGUUUCGACGGUUGGGGAUGGACUCGCGGCUUAUCAGCUUGUUGGUGGGGUAGUGGCUUACCAAGGCUUUGACGGGUAGCCGGCCUGAGAGGGUGACCGGCCACAUUGGGAAUGAGAUACGGCCCAGACUCCUACGGGAGGCAGCAGUGGGGAAUAUUGCACAAUGGGCGGAAGCCUGAUGCAGCAACGCAGCGUGCGGGAUGACGGCCUUCGGGUUGUAAACCGCUUUCGCCUGUGACGAAGCGUGAGUGACGGUAAUGGGUAAAGAAGCACCGGCUAACUACGUG
rnacentral:rRNA from 1 species